UACAGAGGUCUCAAGCGUUGUUCGGAUUCAUUGGGCGUAAAGGGGUGUGUAGGUGGCGCGCUAAGUCGGGUGUGAAAUUUCGGAGCUUAACUCCGGAAACUGCAUUCGAUACUGGCGUGCUUGAGGACUGGAGAGGAGACUGGAAUUCAUGGUGUAGCAGUGAAAUGCGUAGAGAUCAUGAGGAAGACCAGUGGCGAAGGCGGGUCUCUGGACAGUUCCUGACACUGAGACACGAAAGGCCAGGGGAGGCAAACGGGG
rnacentral:rRNA from 1 species